rnacentral:rRNA from 1 species
UACGGAGGGUGCAAGCGUUAUCCGGAUUCACUGGGUUUAAAGGGUGCGUAGGCGGGCAGGUAAGUCAGUGGUGAAAUCUCCGAGCUUAACUCGGAAACUGCCGUUGAUACUAUUUGUCUUGAAUAUUGCGGAGGUAAGCGGAAUAUGUCAUGUAGCGGUGAAAUGCUUAGAUAUGACAUAGAACACCAAUUGCGAAGGCAGCUGGCUACACAAAUAUUGACGCUGAGGCACGAAAGCGUGGGGAUCAAACAGG